rnacentral:rRNA from 1 species
UACGUAGGGUGCGAGCGUUGUCCGGAAUUAUUGGGCGUAAAGGGCGCGUAGGCGGCCACCGCAAGUCGACUGUGAAAUCUCCGGGCUUAACCCGGAAAGGUCAGCCGAUACUGCGGGGCUAGAGUGCAGAAGGGGCAACUGGAAUUCUCGGUGUAGCGGUGAAAUGCGUAGAUAUCGAGAGGAACACCUGCGGCGAAGGCGGGUUGCUGGGCUGACACUGACGCUGAGGCGCGAAAGCUAGGGGAGCGAACGGG